CCCAAGGGAGAUGUGGGUGCCUCUGGAGAACAAGGCAUUCCCGGACCACCGGGUCCCCAGGGCACCAGGGGCUACCCAGGCAUGGCAGGACCUAAGGGAGAGAUGGGUCCUCGUGGAUACAAAGGCAUGGUGGGCUCCGUCGGGGCUGCUGGACCACCGGGAGAAGAAGGCCCCAGGGGGCCACCAGGCCGAGCUGGUGAGAAGGGGGAUGUGGUAAGUUCUCAGGCAACCUUCAUCUGUGAGAACCCCAAGAGAGUACUGGGAAGGGAUCAGCUCCAUCAAG